rnacentral:rRNA from 1 species
UACGAAGGGGGGCUAGCGUUGCUCGGAAUCACUGGGCGUAAAGCGCACGUAGGCGGCUUUCUAAGUCAGGGGUGAAAUCCUGGAGCUCAACUCCAGAACUGCCUUUGAUACUGGAGAGCUUGAGUCCGGAAGAGGUGAGUGGAACUCCGAGUGUAGAGGUGAAAUUCGUAGAUAUUCGGAAGAACACCAGUGGCGAAGGCGGCUCACUGGUCCGGUACUGACGCUGAGGCGCGAAAGCGUGGGGAGCAAACAGG